GUGCCAGCAGCCGCGGUAAUACAGAGGUCCCGAGCGUUGUUCGGAUUCACUGGGCGUAAAGGGUGCGUAGGUGGUGAGGUAAGUCGGAUGUGAAAUUCUGGAGCUUAACUCCGGAACGGCAUUGGAAACUGCCUUGCUUGAGGUUUGGAGGGGGGACUGGAAUUCUCGGUGUAGCAGUGAAAUGCGUAGAUAUCGAGAGGAACACCGGUGGCGAAGGCGAGUCCCUGGACAACACCUGACACUGAGGCACGAAAGCUAGGGGAGCAAACAGGAUUAGAUACCCUGGUAGUCCUAGCCGUAAACGGUGCACGUUUGCUGUAAGAGGAAUCGACCCCUCUUGUGGCGAAGCUAACGCGAUAAACGUGCCGCCUGGGAAGUACGGUCGCAAGAUUAAA
rnacentral:rRNA from 1 species